rnacentral:lncRNA from 1 species
CCAUUUUAUAAAUUCAAAAACUGAAGACAAGAAAGCAAUUAAAGAAGUUGCUCAACGUUACACAGCAAGUUGUAGAGAAGAUAUUCCACCUCAGUGGGUCUGACUCCUUUUCCUUAAAAUAGGAAGAUGAUCCGCUACAUAUUGAAUCUGGUGAAUUUGAACAAGCAACUAAGAAAAAGCAAAAUGGCUACAAAGAAGUCCAGACAAGAACAUAAAUGACUGAAUCAAGUUAGAUUUGACUAUAGAAAAUAAUCUUUUUCUUCAAUGAUAGGGAUCAAACCCAGGGCCUCCUCACAUAUGCAAGGCAAAUGCUCUACCACUGAGCUACAUACCCAGCUCCAAGAGGAAAACAUACAAGAGGCUCCUAUCCUGCUAUACUGUUGCCCUGUGUGAAUUUCAGGCCCAUUAUUGCCACUUCUUAAGACUUUUUCUGAAAAGAUGGAAAUCUGGAUUCAUAUAUACAAUCUCCUAAUACUUAAAUGUCAAUUAAUUCAAGCGUCAACACUACUGGGUUGUGAGCGCAAUAGCGCUCAUCUGUAAUACCAGUGGCUGGUGUGGCUGAAGCAGGAGGAUAGUAAGUUGAAAGCCAGCCUCAGUAACUCAGAAAGACCCGGUCUCUAAACAAAACAAUAAAAAGGGAUGGGGAUGUGACUUACUGGUUCAAACUGGUUUUGUACUGGGUUCAAUCCCCAGUACAAAAACAAAAAACACUAAUGUGGCCCAAACUAAAUAUGGCUGCAGAUUUGCCUCUCUGAUCAAUAAGCUGUUAGAAAUUCAGUAUUGGAUUUAGAUUGGAAGAUGUAUGAUUAGGGAAUCCUUCAGCACAGAGGAUAGAAAUGCUGUAGAAGUAGUAUGCACUGGAAUAACUACCAGCAUAUAACAUUUGUUAAAACAAUGCAAAAAUAUAUGUUAACAAGACAGGACUCUUUCAUGUUUUUUCUUUUUUUUUUUUUUAGCCUUAUAGAAAGCUGACAAAAUAGAAGUGUAAAACUAGCAGUUGGAAGUAUGUUUAGUUCAGUUUUCUAUGAACUAAAUUUUUAAAUUCCAGACAAUGACUUGAAUUUUCAGGUAUCCAACAUGUGAUGGAAACAUUUGAAAUUGUGAAAAUAUUUUUAUCCCCACUGAUUG